rnacentral:rRNA from 1 species
UACGUAGGGCGCAAGCGUUGUCCGGAAUUAUUGGGCGUAAAGAGCUCGUAGGCGGUUUGUCGCGUCUGCUGUGAAAACUUCAGGCUCAACCUGGGGCUUGCAGUGGGUACGGGCAGACUAGAGUGCGGUAGGGGUGACUGGAAUUCCUGGUGUAGCGGUGGAAUGCGCAGAUAUCAGGAGGAACACCGAUGGCGAAGGCAGGUCACUGGGCCGCAACUGACGCUGAGGAGCGAAAGCAUGGGGAGCGAAC